ACGUUGUUCGGAAUCACUGGGUUUAAAGGGCGCGUAGGCGGACUGUCAAGUCGGUGGUGAAAUCUUUCGGCUCAACCGGAAAAUCGCCUUCGAUACUGGCGGCCUUGAGGGAGGUAGGGGCAUGCGGAACUUCCGGUGGAGCGGUGAAAUGCGUAGAUAUCGGAAGGAACACCGAUGGCGAAAGCAGCGUGCUGGACCUUUUCUAACGCUGAGGCGCGAAAGCCAG
rnacentral:rRNA from 1 species